UGUGCGCGGGCGGAUGGAUCAACGCCGCCAAGUGGGGAAAGCGCGAAUGCAGUCCCCCACUACAACAAAUUAUGCAGUCGAGUUUUCCACAUUUGGGAAUAUCACAGGGGUCAGCACAUCCGGAGUGCAAUCGAUGAGCCCCACGCUGGGAAAAACCACCUUCGUGAUCAUGGUAUCUUCCCUGCCAGGUAAGUAUUUGAAUUCCCAUUUAUUGAAGGAAUGGAUUAACAAGUAAAUAUAUGCAUGAAUACAAGCCCACAUGAGUAGGGGAACAGAUCGUUUUCUUUGCUCAGAAAAAUAAUCCUUCCUCCAAAUGUGUACCAGGACAGUAUGUCUACCUGCCUGCCCCUGAAAUUUAUGGGUUUCUAAAAUAGGUCUUACCCAUCUUACCUGUGGUUAUCUUAUAUUAGGUGAUCACCAACCAGUUACUAAGAUACCUGCUGUCACUUAGAAUCCUAAGUUUUCUUUACUGGUAUUUCCUUAUAUUCCUCACUCUUGCUUCCUUUGUUUGCGUUAACUGGAAUUUUCUCU
ensembl:lncRNA WEE2-AS1 WEE2 antisense RNA 1